GACCAUGUAAAUAGGUUUGGAGCAACGCAGCUUGGGCUAAUGUGUUACUUCAAGGAAACACCCAUAAGAGGUAUGAGACCAUGAUCACUAAAUGGAAAUAGGACGAGUGGAAAGGAAUCUUAACAGCAACAACAGAAUAGAAAAUGGAGUAUGGAUGCUUAAUCUCACUUCUCAUUCAAUAUUAAGCUAAUGAUCCAAAUGCAAUUAGUAACCAUUCUGUUUUCUUCUUCCUUUCUUGGAAUUAUAAGCAACGUGGAAUAGUAAGUGUUCAUGGCAACAAGUCUAGACUCAAUGAGUUAUGCAAUUAAGAUCUGAAAACCCCUAAAGAUGCAAGAAUUGAAAUGGUGGGAACAAGUGUCUAAAGGCUGGAAUUGGUCCCUAAUCAAUGUCAAUUCGUAAAUUCAAAUCAUGUCCAAAUACAGUUUUGAAAAUUGUAAUCUUUCCACAUGGUAGUCCAAUGUACAUAUUGACCAUUUAAUCCUGAUAAUCAAUGCUGUUAUGGUAACAACUGUUGA